AAAGCUGAAAUGGUGGGGCAUUCGUUCUAUAACUUUGUUCAAAUUCUUCUAAUCUUCUUCUUUCCAUCGGCGGAAAAGAGUUCCUUCUUUUGUGCACUAAAGUCUAAACUUAAAUCUCAGGUUAUAGGAGGGAGGGAGGCUGCUAAAUACUUAAAUGGGUUGCAAAUAAUGGGCUAGCUUAUAACGGGUAUUAAAUAUAAUGCAUAAUGGGCUAAGUAAAAUUAUUUUAUGAGAAGUAUUAGUGAGCUGGACUUUGGGGGGCAAGGUGAGCUUAAAAGCCCUAUUAUUAAGGAACAAAUU
rnacentral:misc_RNA from 1 species